rnacentral:rRNA from 1 species
CCUACGGGAGGCAGCAGUGAGGAAUAUUGGUCAAUGGGCGCGAGCCUGAACCAGCCAAGUCGCGUGAGGGAAGACGGUCCUAUUGAUUGUAAACCUCUUUUGUCGGGGAGCAAAAGACGCCACGCGUGGCGUUCCGACAGUACCCGAAGAAACAGCAUCGGCUAACUCCGUGCCAGCAGCCGCGGUAAUACGGAGGAUGCGAGCGUUAUCCGGAUGUAGUGGGUUUAAAGGGAGCGUAGGCCGGUCUUUAAGCUUGCCGUGAAAUUGUGUGGAGCAACCAUGAGAGUGCGGCGCGAACUGGAGACCUUGAGUGCGCGGAAGGCAAGCGGAAUUCGUGGUGUAGCGGUGAAAUGCUUAGAUAUCACGAAGAACACCGAUUGCGAAGGCAGCCUACCGCAGCGUUACUGACGCUGAAGCUCGAAAGCGCGGGUAUCGAACAGGAUUAGAUACCCCUGUAGUC